rnacentral:lncRNA from 1 species
GAUGCAUUAAAAUAUAGGUAAUGUUUCCAGAGGACUUUUUUAAAAACCAAAAUUUUAGAGUGAACUAAUGUGACCUUGCAACUCAAGUGUAGGACAGUUUUGCUGAAGUUAACUAAAGACAAUUUGGAGUGGCUUGAAAUUGCAAAUGCUUUUUAAAAAUUUGGAGCUUCUGCCCAAAGAUCUCUUUAAUCCAUUUUAUAUUUUACUCUUUCACAUAAUGUACUUUCUUUCAAUACUCUCUCUUAUUAAUUAUCUCCUCUUUCCAUGGCAGAUGGCUAGAUGAGUAUCAAGAUGACGGCAGGACAGAGCUGGAAUUGAUUGCAGAGAGUAGCCAUGGUGAAGGCAGAUGGACAGGACCAGCCACCUCCUGAAAGGGGACACUGGGAGUCGUCACUCCACUGAGCUUCAAGUGGCUAUGGGUCUGAUCAUGACCAUGUGUUUGCUUAGACUGAAGCAAACACCUGGGGAGGGUCAGUUCAGCUGGGACACAUUCUCUGCUUUUGAGAACUUCCAAAGUUGGGAGAAGCAUUGAGACAGACCAUCAGCCAAUGACUGACCAGGAUCAGCCUCUGAUGUCUGGACUGUGCACACCACUAUUUCUUUCUUCCUCCCUUCUUCUUCUUUCUUCUCCAACUUCCCCUUCCUUCCUCCUCUUUCAGAAACUUAGACACCUAUUAAGUUUACUGAAAUGUUUAGAUAGCUAUCUUUUGCAAGUGAAGAAGUAACAUUUGAUUAAUGUAAAAUACUAUUUUGCAACAUACAUUAAUUUCAAAGUGGAAGUCUUAAUUUUAGCUGAUGCCAUGUCUCUGUUAGUAUUGGUGGCAGUAUCAAUAAGAAAAAUAUCAAAAGAAAUGGAUUGAUUGGGUUAUCUUUCAUCCUCAUUGCCCUUUGCACUGGUCCUAGCGAGACUGGGUCUUCUGUGAGCUUAGAAGUUGGACCUACAGGUAGACAGUAACAGAGCACCAUGCAGGAAAUGUAUCUGGAGGCAGAUAUCUGACAUUUAUUAGUCCCUUUCCCCCAUGAAGUCUCAAAUAUGUGUCAUUGUUGUACCUCAGGCAGACGCUUCCAAUCCUUCAAAUUGGCACAAGAGAUAAAACCCCUCUGCCAUCCAGGAGAGAUCUUGGUAUGGCUUAUAAUAUCAGAGAUGCCUGUGUUCCAGUCUCAAUCCUGCAACUGUGAGGUAAUGACUAUCAUCAUCCCCAUUCUGCAGAUGAGAAAACCAAGACUUGGAAAGGCCAAGUGACUUGCCCAAACUCAUAGAAAGAGAUGAACAGGAGAUCUGGGAUUGGAACCCAGUGGUCUGGCUCCAGCCUUUGAGCAUACACAUGAUUUUCCCUACCUUAUUGUCUUCUCCACCUGUUUUAGUACCCUAUGAAAUCAUGCAGAGGGGACCAGUGAAUCUCCUCAGGUUCACUUCCUUCAUGGUUUCCGUCAUAUGCAGCUAUAACCUGAACUAUUAUAUACUUGUUUUAAACUGUCUUUAAAACAGGUAAUUUGGUGGUAGAGGAGAGCUGAGCCUCAUCUGAAACGAUGUCGAUAAUAUCCAUGAUAUCACUAAUUUAAUGUCAUAUAUUUUUUUCCUAAAGCACAUUAAAAUUAAUCUAUAUCUGAUGAACUUUUAGGUUAAUCUAUUUACAACCUAAGAUUCAUUAUAGACAUCCAAAAUUAUGCAUUUCACCAUUUGGAAAAGCACCUAGAAUACAUGUAUAUACCUAUUUCACUCUAAGCCUAGCAUAUAGUGAUCAGUAAGUGACAUUUCAAUUAAAGAGAUUAUUGUUAACAUGGUUUACCUUUUAGCACCCCUUCGUAAUUGUAUAUUUUAUAUCUGAGAAUAAAAACACAUCAAGAAUUAAGUUUCGGUGAUUUACAUUUUGCUACAGUUUGGAUCCAGAAUGUUCUCAGUGCAAAGGUUAGAAUUGGACCCCAGCCUGGUGCUAUUGGGAAGUGGUGGGAACCUCAAGAGGUGGGACCUGGUGCAAGACCUUCAGGUCACUGGAGGCUCCUGAAAGGGAUCCUGCAACCCAGCCCCUCCUCUUUCUCCUUCACUUCCAGGCCAGGAGAUAAGUGCAUCUGCUUCACCCUGCAUUCCAGCCAUGACACACUGCCCGAGCACAAAUCAACAGGGCCUGUGGAUCAUGAAAUGAAACUUCUAAAACUGUGAGCCAAACUAAUCUCCCUCCUCCCUCCCUCCCUCCCUCUCUCUCUCUCCUUCCUUCCUUCCUUCCUUCCUUCCUUCCUUCCUUCCUUCUUUUCUUUUCUUUC